AGUUGGAUUGGAUAGGCAUUCUAUUCUUCCCGCUGUUGAUAGAGAUCCUAUCCAUUCGGAUGGGAUCCGGAUGAGCUCUCCAUCCAUCCGACUU